ensembl:lncRNA
AGCCACAGGCCCUGGUGUGGUGUAAGUGGCCUGAGCAAGAGCCACAGACCCUGGUGUGGUGUAAGUGGCCUCAGCCAGCAGCCACAGGCCCUGGUGUGGUGUAAUUGGCCUCAAUAGCAACUAAGGCCCUGGUGUGGUGUAAUUGGCCUCAAUAGCAACUAAUGCCCUGGUGUGGUGUAAGUGGCCUCAGCCAGUGCCACAGGCCCUGGUGUGGUGUAAGUGGCCUGAGCAAGAGCCACAGGCCCUGGUGUGGUGUAAGUGGCCUCAGCCAGCAGCCACAGACCCUGGUGUGGUGUAAGUGGCCUCAGCCAGCAGCCACAGGCCCUGGUGUGGUGUAGGUGGCCUCAGCCGGCAACUCAG